rnacentral:lncRNA from 1 species
UGCUUCUAUCAAAAGUUGAAUUAAUGGAAAAGUCGUACAGAAAAAGGGAUAAUAAAGAGGUAAAAAGAAUUUCCACUCCUGACAGCAUUAAUCCUAGCAACAGCACUAAGAGCAUCUCCAAUGCAAAAUGCUAUUUUGAAAAGCUAAAUUGAUAAAAUAGCAUUUUAAAUAGUGUAAAUAUAGCUUUUUUUACCAUAUCUAUUCCAAUGAAAAAAAGCCAUUUGAAGAACCAUUUAUAUUGGAGUGGAAGAAACAAGUGUCUUAUUAUUUCUUAAUAAAUUUGAUGUUACUUUUUUUUCCACAUGUCUACAUUUAAUUGGUUUAUUUUUUUAGUGGCCCCACUUUGUUGGUUUUGGCUCUUUAAAGAGAUGUAGGAAUAGCAUUUGUGGAAGAGAAAAGCCAUUUUAGCAUUUUGUUUGGCUUUCUCCUUGGAGUGUGCAAAACAAACAAAGAGAAGCUAAAAAAAAAUUCAAAAAAUUGAUCCAUGCUUCUAUCAAAAGUUGAAUUAAUGGAAAAGUCAUACAGAAAAAAGGAUAAUAAAGAGGUAAAAAGAAUUUCCACUCCUGACAGCAUUAAUCCUAGCAACAGCACUAAUAAAAAAAUACAUAAGUUACAUAGAACUUGAAGAAAAACCUUUUUCUUUCCUGUUAUAUAUUAAACUAUAUUUGUUUCUUUCUUGUCACAAAAAAAC